AAAUGAGCUUGUUAGGAAAAUUGGCAGCUUUGGCGGAGGCCGUGCUACCAUGAGACGUACUGUUAAAAGCGCUCCUCAAAGCAUCUGGUAUUGUUUUUAUUUCAAAUUUAUUUAUUCAUUUAUACCUUUUUCUUAUUUUCAUAUAAAUCCAUGAAGAAUUAACUCAAAUAGCCCGUGAAUGUAUAAUAUAUAUAUAAUUUAUGUGCUCCUCAAAGCAUCUGGUAUUGUUUUUAAUUCAAAUUUAUUUCUUCAUUUAUACCUUUUUUCUUAUUUUUAUAUAAAUCCAUAAAGAAUUAACUCAAAUAGCCAACAUAAUUUAUGUAUUAUAUGGAUAUAGAUAUGUAUAAUUUAUGUAUAUAAUUAAAAAAAUAAACAAUGUAUAUGUCCGAUUAUUUAUGUAAAGAUUCCUGAAUCCAUUGUGUGUUAAUCUUAUAACCUUAACUUUAUGCACUAGUUACAUGCUUAUUAACCGUACCUGUCCUUUGAUUAAAUAGGU
rnacentral:lncRNA from 1 species